GUCAGGAUGGCCAAGCAGUCUAAGGCGCUGCGUUCAGGUCGCAGUCUCCCCUGGAGGCGUGGGUUCGAAUCCCACUUCUGACA
rfam:Lepisosteus oculatus unplaced genomic scaffold TNK42, whole genome shotgun sequence.